AUUGAACGCUGGCGGCAGGCCUAACACAUGCAAGUCGAACGAGUGGCGGACGGGUGAGUAAUGUCUGGGAAACUGCCCGAUGGAGGGGGAUAACUACUGGAAACGGUAGCUAAUACCGCAUACCAUCGGAUGUGCCCAGAUGGGAUUAGCUUGUAGGUGAGGUAACGGCUCACCUAGGCGACGAUCCCUAGCUGGUCUGAGAGGAUGAACAGGCACACUGGAACUGAGACACGGUCCAGAAUCCGAGGUGAGGCAGCAGUGGGGAAUAUGGCACAAUGGGCGCAAGCCUGAUGCAGCAAGGCCGCGGGUAUGAAGAAGGCCUUCGGGUUGUAAAGUACUUUCAGCGGGGAGGCGUUACCCGCAGAAGAAGCACCGGCUAACGCCGUGCCAGCAGCCGCGGGAAUAC
rnacentral:rRNA from 1 species